ACUCCACUCCACCCCCCUCACCCCACCCCCGCCCGCGCCGCCGCCAUGGUCGCGCUCGCCUCCCUCUCUUCUCUGUGCCUCUGCGGCUCCGCUCGCCGCCGUUCUGCCUCCGCGCCCACCUCCAUAUCAUGCUGUGUGCUCGCAACUCCCUCCGGCAGAGGGUCUCAUGAAUCUAGAAUACCCCGUAGAAGGUUCCGGAGAACCGAGGGUGCUACUAAGAGCAUGGAAGAUUCAGUCAAGCGAAAGAUGGAGCAGUUCUACGAAGGGGUGGAUGGUCCGCCCCUCCGGGUCCUCCCAAUCGGCGGCCUUGGGGAAAUCGCUACGACGAGUUUGGUGUGCAAAAGAUUAUUCCCGACACAACUUUCAUCAAGAAAUGGAGCCACAAAAUUGAAGCAGUUAUUAUUACACAUGGCCAUGAAGAUCACAUCGGUUAUUCCUGCACUGGAUUCGACCACACCUAUUUUUGCGUCAUCUUUUACGAUGGAGCUCAUAAAGAAACGUUUGAAGGAGUUUGGGAUUUUUCUCUCAUCCAGGCUAAAGAGUUUUAGAGUUAGAAAUAGGUUUCAGGCUGGUCCAUUUGAAGUGGAACCUAUCCGCGUAACUCAUUCAAUUCCUGACUGCUGUGGAUUAGUGCUUCGUUGUGGUGAUGGCACAAUUUUCCAUACUGGUGACUGGAAAAUUGAUGAAUCACCAGUGGAUGGGAGAAUAUUCGACCGAGAAGCAUUGGAGGAGCUCUCGAAAGAAGGUGUUACUCUGAUGAUGAGCGACUCAACAAAUAUUCUGUCCCCUGGAAGAUCCACCAGUGAAUCUGUUGUCGCUAGUUCAUUGUUGCGUCAUGUUUCAGAAGCAAAAGGGAGAAGAGUAAUUACAACACAAUUUGCUUCAAAUAUACAUCGCAUUGGGAGCAUCAAAGCCGCUGCAGACUUAACUGGUCGAAGGCUGGUCUUUGUUGGAAUGUCACUGCGGACGUACCUUGAGGCUGCUUUCAGGGAUGGAAAGGCACCACUGGAUCCAUCAACCUUGGUUAAGGCAGAGGACAUGGAUGCAUAUGACCCUAAAAAUCUUUUAGUCGUUACUACAGGUUCACAGGCAGAGCCACGUGCGGCUCUGAAUCUCGCAUCUUAUGGUGGGAGCCAUGCUCUUAAACUAUCCAAAGAGGACGUCCUUCUUUAUUCAGCUAAGGUUAUCCCUGGAAACGAGUCCCGGGUAAUGAAGAUGUUAAAUCGCCUCACCGACCUUGGCCCCAAAAUUGUUAUGGGUAAAGAUGCUGGCCUCCAUACAUCUGGGCAUGCUUAUCACGAUGAACUGGAGGAAGUUCUACAGAUUGUUAAACCGCAGCAUUUCUUGCCUGUUCAUGGGGAACUCUUGUUUCUCAAAGAACAUGAAUUGCUAGGAAGGUCAACUGGCAUAAAGCACACUACUGUAAUUAAAAAUGGGGAGAUGCUUGGUGUAUCUCAUCUAAGAAACAGAAAGGUUUUGUCAAAUGGGUUUGUUUCUUUAGGGAAGCAGGACUUUAAGUUAAUGUAUAGUGACGGAGACAAAGCUUUUGGAACGUCCACUGAUCUCUGCAUUGACGAGAGAUUCAGGAUCGCAUCUGAUGGCAUUAUCUUUGUCAGCAUGGAGAUCUUCCGACCUAAACCUGCUUCACCACAGUCUGGCUUGAAAGGGAAAUUUAAAAUAACAACACGGUGUCUAUGGCUUGAUUAUGGUAGACUACUUGAUGCACUUUACAAGGCUGCGCAUGCUGCAUUGUCAAGCUGUCCUUUGAAUUGCCCACUUAGUCACAUGGAGCGAAUGGUAUCUGAAAUCUUGAGGAAAAUGGUCAGAAAGUACAGUGGAAAGAGACCUGACGUCAUUGUAGUUGCUUCAGAGAACACUACAGUAGGUUUCUCAGAAGAGGUAAUAAAUAGGCAUAUGAGUCUUGUAGACUAUGAGAAAACACGGCCAGAGAACCCAGAGCGUGAGGCUGAAGAGAGCAUCCCUGAGGUCAUGAGAACAACACCUGACGAUGCAACCACUAGCUCCAAUGCUCAAGGGAACAAACCAAAGCUCGGCAAGAUCAGCAUAAUUGAUAAGGAUUCCAGCACGUCAGCUCCUGCUCCAGCUAAAUCUUCAAGAAAGAACAAGUGGAAGCCCGAGGAAAUUAAGAGCUUAAUACAGCUGCGUGGAGAAAUGAAUGAGAAAUUCCAAACCGUCAAAGGAAGAAUGGUUCUGUGGGAAGAGAUAUCUGGUAGCCUGUUGAAGCAGGGGAUAACUCGUACACCAGCACAGUGCAAAUCUGUGUGGACAUCAUUGCUUCAGAAAUACGAGGAGAGCAAGAAGGAUGAAGAAAACAUGCGGACAUGGCAAUAUUUUUCGGCCAUGGAUAGUUUUUUAUCAUGCGAAGGGGAAAUGGCAACCAAAUGAAACAGACCCGUAAUAAAUUGCUUAGCGAUAGUUAUUUGGAGAUCAGUGUAUUGUAAGGUAGUCCGUGAAUCAACGACAAGAUCAACAGCGUCUCCAGGAAGUAAUCCUAUCAUUCUUUGCCAUUGCAUGAGAUGCCUGGGGUAGUCACGUGAAACUAGGUUUACCAAUCCACCAUGUUGUAUUAGUUUUUGUGGGAUCAGCAACUAGAUCUAUCAAUUGAUUAGUCAGUUAAGUUGCAACAUUAGCAAGUAAAAAGGCGCUCUCGUGUUACAGAAUGGAUUAAUUCUGGCCUCACAUUUAGGCCGUAACAAGGUGGAGAUCGAGUCCGAUCGUGUUCCUGUGAUUGAAGCUACAAAACUACUACUAUGGAGCUGACGCGGCGAUCAUUGCUGAAUGUGCUCAACUUGCAACAGGGUUCGGGAAGGUUUGUUUUGGUUAUUGUCGUCGAGAUGCAAAUGCGGUUGUUGAUUGUCUUGCUAAAUCAGCUUCUUGAUCAAUCCUCGUCAUUUUGGGAUUCUAGUGCGCACAGUUUUAUCUUGGAUUUUCUUGUAAAUGACGUUGCCCUUAUUUGAUGAACAAAGAAUCUUCCCUUUUAAAAAAAACUACCGACACUGCGAUUCUGAGGUGAAUGGGCUAAGCACACCGCUGACAUCCUAUAUAGAUAAGAGUGACCCCUACUAACUUAUUUAUUUCAACAUGUAAGUAAGUCAGAUCACCUAAUUAUGGUCCC
rnacentral:rRNA from 1 species